GCCUAAAGCGUCCGUAGCCGGCUAUGUUAGUUUUCGGUUAAAUCCAUGUGCUUAACACAUGGGCUGUCGAAAAUACUGCAUAGCUAGGGAGUGGGAGAGGUAGACGGUACUCUGUAGGAAGGGGUAAAAUCCUUUGAUCUAUAGAUGACCACCAGUGGCGAAGGCGGUCUACCAGAACACGUCCGACGGUGAGGGAUGAAAGCUGGGGGAGCAAACCGGAUUAGAUACCCGGGUAGUCCCAGCUGUAAACUAUGCAAACUCAGUGAUGCAUUGGCUUGUGGCCAGUGCAGUGCCGCAGAGAAGUCGUUAAGUUUGCCGCCUGGGAAGUACGUACGCAAGUAUGAAACUUAAAGGAAUUGGCGGGGGAGCACCACAAGGGGUGAAGCCUGCGGUUCAAUUGGAGUCAACGCCAGAAAUCUUACCCGGAGAGACAGCAGGAUGAAGGUCAAGCUGAAGACUUUACCAGACAAGCUGAGAAGUGGUGCAUGGCCGUCGCCAGCUCGUGCCGUGAGGUGUCCUGUUAAGUCAGGUAACGAGCGAGAUCCUUGCUUCUAGUUGCCACCAUUACUCUCAGGAGUAGUGGGGCGAAUUAGCGGGACUGCCGCAGUUAAUGCGGAGGAAGGAGAGGGCCACGGCAGGUCAGUAUGCCCCGAA
rnacentral:rRNA from 1 species